GGCGAUGCCUGCAGCCGAGUGCUGGGCAGAUUCAUGCUCCAGUGCUUCAGGGCCCUGCGCGUGCUGUCUGACGGCUGCAGACGCUGCUGCGGGGUCACCGGGUAUGUCAGCCUCCUCGUCCGUUCCUGCACGCCUGGCCGGACCCACAGCCGGGUCCACUCCUCGUGUUCUCAGUCAAGCAGUGUCUGUUUGGCAGCCUGCCAUGUGACCUUGCUCUGAUAGCUUAGAACACGCUCUUGACAUCGGAUACCUCGACCCUGUCGGGAUCCUUUGGAGUCUGGCAAUGCUCCUGCGUCUGCGCCAUUUCGUGGCUGUUCAUGUGGGACUCGAGUGCAGUGGGCACUUGGCCGCUUUUCUUCCUUUUAAUGUGUGUUAUGUUGCUUUGAAAGUCUUUCAUAGAAGGCUAGCAGUCACAAUGAGGUGAAGGCAGCCCCCUCUCCCCAGGCGUUGCUGGAUCUGAUUAGUCCAUUAACGUACAUCUUCUUACGUAGCAGAUUACAGUGCCUGUAAUCGCCUCCUUCAAACACCUAAGCUCUUAAACCUCCUGCCUGCGAGCCCUGCCUUAACCAUGCGCUUCCAGACAUCAUGGACAGAAGCCAGCCAACAUGGAGGAGCUGACGGAGGUGGUCACAGUGGCAGAGCCCGACCCCCUCCAGUGUUGCCUGCUCAUCCACAGCGGAGGCCGACCCCCUCCAGUGCCGCAAGCCCAUCUACAGUGGAGCCUGAUCACUACCAGUGCUGCCUGCUACGUCCACGGCGGAGCCUGUCCCCCUCCAGGGCAGCGUGCUCGUCCGCGGCGGAGGCCGACCCCUUCCAGGGCAGCGUGCUCGUCCACGGCGGAGGCCGACCCCCUCCAGGGCAGCGUCUACAGCAGCAGCACAAGGCCGUCUGCCCCUGGGACACGCGGUCCCCCGCCCCCGCUGCCGGCACGCCAAGGGUCCACGAGCACCUGCGAAGCAAGCCGUGUCCACUCUGCGAAAAUGACCGCAUCUUCGAUGACUGAGUGCUGCUGGAGUGGCCCCACCAGGUUCAAAGUGGGUCAGAAAGCAGUGGCGACAGCUCGCAACGUCUACAGCGCGUUUGGGCCAGGAACGGCUAAUGAACAUACACUGCAGCAGGGGUUCGUUUGCAAAGGAGACGAGAGCCUUGAAUACGGAGUGCAGUGGCCAACCGUCAGAAGCUGACAAUGAGCAAUGGACGGCCAUCAUCCACGCUGAUCCGCUAACAACUACGUAAGAAUCUGCCACAGAACUCAAGCGCCAACUGUGCUACGGUCAUUUGGCAUUUGAAGCAAAUUGAAGAGGUAAAAAGGCUAAGUGGGUGCCUCGUGAGGUGACCAAACAAUUUUUUAUAAAUGGUCAUUCUUAAGCCUUGUCUGUCUUCUCUUACUGUAUGCAAAACCUAAGAACCACGUCUCAGUUGGAUUGUGACGGGCGGUGAAAAGCGGAUUUUAUUCAACUGGCAAUGACCAGCUCAGUGGCUGGACUGAGGAGAAGCUCCAGAGCACUUUCCAGAGUCACACUUGCACCAAAAAUAGGUCAGGUCACUGGUGGUCUGCUGCCCCUCUGAGCCACGACAGCUUUCAGAAUCCCAGUGAAACCAUUCCACCUGAGAAGCAGGCUCAGCAGACCUGUUGGAAAUACACCAACAACUGCAACACAAGCCACCGUCAGUCAACAGAAAGGGCCCAGGUCUCCCCAGCGACGCCCGACCACGUCUCACAAGCAGUGCUUCGGGAGCUGAGCGACUGGGCUGUGGAGUUUUGCCUCCCUCACCAUAUUCACCUGCCUCUCACCAACAGACUCUGCCUCUUCAAGCAGCUCAGCGACUUUCUGCAGAGAAAGCAUUUCCACAACCAGCGGGAGGCAGAAGCUAUUUUCCAAGCGUUCAUCAGAUCCCAAAACAUGUAUUUUUAUGCUACAGAAAUAUUAACUAUAACUAUUUAUUGCUCCUUGGAAGAAAAGCUAUGAUCAGCCUAGACAGCGUAUUCAAAAGCAGAGACGUUACUUUGCCGACAAAGGUCCAUCUGGUCAAGGCUAUGGAUUUUCCAGUAGUCAGGUAUGGAUGUGAGAGUUGGACCAUAAAGAAGGCUGAGUGCUGAAGAAUUGAUGCUUUUGAACCGUGCUGUUGGAGAAGAUUCUUGAGAGUCCCUCGGACUGCAAGGAGAUCAGUCCUAAGUGUUCAUUGGAAGGACUGAUGCUAAAGCUGAAACUCCAAUACUUUGGCCACCUGAACUGAGUGAUUGGAAAAGCUGGGAAAGACUGAAGGCAGGAGAAGGGGCUGACAGAGGAUGAGAUGGUUGGAUGGCAUCACUGACUUGAUGGACAUGAGUUUAAGCAAGCUCCAGGAGUUGGUGAUGGACAGGGAGGCCUGGCGUGCUGCAGUCCCUGGGGUUGCAAAGAGUGACUGAUAACGAUUUAAAAUUCAUGGUCUGAAAUCACAAUUACUUUUGCACCAACCUAAUACACUUACUUUAAAGGUAGUUCUUUUACUCUGUUGGUUGUGAUGCAGUUCACAAAUGUGAGAUAUUGAACAACUGUCUUAAGUCCUUAAGCAUUUCUGGAAAAAUGGGGUUGUAUAUAUUUGUUUCGCUAUUUUCGCCAAAAUUUUAAUAAAUUUCAAAUGUUUAGCUGGAUUUGUCCUGUGUAAUUGGACAGUUUUUUCCAUAUUUCCUUCGAGACAUAUUUCCCACCGAACAAGAAACCAGCCUUCUGCCUCUCAGAGGGCCCUGAGCUGGGGUGUGCAUGGCCAGGCAGGGGUCCCUGUUUGGGGCUGACGGCCCUCAGAAGUGCUCUUGAGGAGUAUGAGAUUUAAGAGAUGCCCAGGAAUUUCUCCAGGCUUCUUUGCCAGUUGACACUUUUGAUUCCAUACAAGCCUCUUCCCCUCCUGAUGACCUAAGAAUCCUGUGGUUCAUCGGACUUAAGUUCGCCUUAUUUUGGCUGCACUGGCCCUUAGCUGCUGCGUGUGAGCUUUGCCUACCUGUGCUGAGCACAGGCUCAGGAGUCAUGGCUCAUGGCCUUAGUCGCUCCACAGCACGUGGGGUCUUCCCAGACCCGGGACCGAACCCGUGGCCCCUGCACUGGCAGGCGGUUUUCAACCACUGGACCGGUAGGAACGCUCCCAUUUCAAUAGUGCGCUUCCCUUGUUAUCACCGACUUGAAUUAACGACUUUGGCCCUAAAUGGAGCAGCCCUGUGGGCCUGCGAGGAGGUUAUUCAGAGGGUCCCACCCCCUCUCCUGGCCACACGCCACCCGUGCAGACAGCCAGGCUCAUUCAUUUCUGGCAGAUUGAUCCCGAGUUUCUGGCGCAAAUGAGCAGAUGCGCAGCCUCUGGCUGCUUUCUGCACGUUGUUCAGCCGCUGUCACGUCUGACCCUGCGGCCCCAGGAAACUGCAGCGCGCCAGCCUUCACUCUCCUCAGCUGUCUCCCAGUUUGUCCACAUUCAUUUCCGUGGAAUCAGUGAUGCUG
ensembl:lncRNA